rnacentral:rRNA from 2 species
CUCUGAUGUUAGCGGCGGACGGGUGAGUAACACGUGGGUAACCUACCUAUAAGACUGGGAUAACUCCGGGAAACCGGGGCUAAUACCGGAUAAUAUUUUGAACCGCAUGGUUCAAUAGUGAAAGACGGUUUCGGCUGUCACUUAUAGAUGGACCCGCGCCGUAUUAGCUAGUUGGUAAGGUAACGGCUUACCAAGGCGACGAUACGUAGCCGACCUGAGAGGGUGAUCGGCCACACUGGAACUGAGACACGGUCCAGACUCCUACGGGGAGGCAGCAGUAGGGAAUCUUCCGCAAUGGGCGAAAGCCUGACGGAGCAACGCCGCGUGAGUGAUGAAGGUCUUCGGAUCGUAAAACUCUGUUGUUAGGGGAAGGAACAAAUUUGUUAGUAACUGAACAAGUCUUGACGGUCCCUAACCAGAAAGCCCACGGCUAACUACGUGCCAGCAGCCGCGGUAA